AUCAUCCAAACUGAUUAUGUAUGAUUUAAUUUGAAACAAAUAACAUUGUUAAUUUUAGAGUAUAUUUGGUUGUUGUUUUAUUUUUAUUUGAUUACUUUUGAAUAAAGAUUUUUGUACUUACGUUCUAUUACAUAGAUAAUUAACUUUAAUUUCUUUUACUCAAAUGUGCCAUAAUUUUUGUAUCUCCUUUACUUAAAUUUACCUUAACUUUUUUUAUUUCUUUUGAUUGAUAUGGUUAUGAAGCCCUCUAGAUAUGGUAAAAAUGGUUUCAACCUAUCUAUUGGAUAUGGGGUUUGCCCAUUUUUCAAUAUCAAAACUUAGCGUUAGUUUUCCUUUUUGAAGGUUUGUUAUACCAAACAAAGCAUGCUGCAGUGAAGAUAGGGAAGAGCCUUUACAAGACUUUCCUUGCGGAAACCAUGCUUGGAUAGGCAUCAAUAUGUCUUUCAUGGGAUACAUUUUAUCCUACAGAAAUUGCCAAGAUGAAACGUUUGUACAUAUUCUCCUGGAAAUAAAAUUAACAUAAGGGUUAUACAUUCAUACACAGGUCAUAAAAAAUUUUAAUACCAAGAUGAUAGAUCUUUUGAUCAUAGAAUCUCAUACUUGAUACAUACACCUAUACAUAGUAUCAUCUCUAAUAUUAUGAUGUCUACUUCUCCUCCUCCUCUUUUAUAUCAACAACACCAGCUCAAUUAUCCAACAAUACCACAAUCGAAUGGUAUGUCAUUGUAGCAUUUUAGGAUCGAAUCCACAGAGAACUAGAGACUUAUAACACCAAGAAUACACAAACCUUCCUAAUCUAAGCAAACAAGAAGAUAGAUGAUUUGUAACAAACUAAUAUCCUAGAAAUAUAAACAAGGUGAUCUCAGAUCCAAUCAAGAAAUAAGUGCAAGAAUUCAAUCAAAUACUAAGGAGAAUCCAUGGGCUAAGGGAAUUGACAUUGGGUGAUCAAGUUUCAAUCUAAAGGUGGUACCUUUCAAUAAAUCUAUCAACCUUAGGCUUAGACACAAUCCUAAACAAACUCUAUCUCUUGAUGGAUGUUCAUUCACUAAGAUAACUCAAGCAUCAAAUCUCUUUGGUUGAAUAUUAUCAAAGCAAUCAUUAAAAUCAAGCCUAUUAGCCAUCUUAACACCUUUAACAACAAAUCUCUUUGGUAAAGAGUGUUAAAAGCUUAGGAGAGUUGGUUCAGACAUUUCAUCAAACACCUUUCGGGUAUGAAAUGUCUAGAGCUCAAUUUUAGAGAGACCAACUCUAAAAUAGCAUUAAGAUCACUCAAAAAGCAAGAAAUAAGAAGGAUCUACAAUAAAACACCCUAAAUCUACACUUAAUCACCCUAAUCUACCUUAACCCAUGAAUCCAAGGAGAAUCUACUCUCUAAACUCCAUGAGAAAGCUCAAACCCAUGAUGGAUUCAAGGCUCAUCAUGUUUAUGAGAAAGAGAAACAAGAUAUAAUAUGAAGAACUUCCUUAGAUUAUGAUAUAAAGAUUCAAGCUUUUUUACAAAUGAGGCAAUGUUCUUGAGAGAAAAAUGAGAUUCCUCCUCAGAUUAGGUCUUAAAGGUGUUUAUAGAUGUCUAAAAACGAGCUGGGUUAACCCAACAAACCUAGGUUAACCCACAAAAACAUAGAUAUUUUUCUCCGUAGUGACCAGAAAAAGUCGCUACCAGAGGUCACUACGCCUGUAGCGACUUGUCAUGCCCGCUACGUGUGGCCGCUAGGAUACUUGGGAAAUUUUAGAGGUCUUGAACGCAUAGCGACCUCGUAAAGUCGCUAUGGCUGGCCGCUGUAGAAGGCGCUUCAAAUCUAGCGGCCUCUCCAUCCCGCUACACACGCCCGCUACGGUACUUAUCUUCUGUAGCGACCAGCCUUUGCCGCUACGCCUGGCCGCUAGGAUCCUUUAACGACUCAUCUACAUUCUUUGGGCAUCGAAACACUCCUUGGGGCACAGAGUUCAUCAUGAAACUCCCUCCAACACCUGAUAAGGACUAAUGCAUGGAAAUGCAACCUAAACAUGUGUAAAUGCUAUUCCAAAAGACCAAUGUGCACAAGAAAGGAUAAUUAAAACAAUGUAAAUAUGCAAGAUAUCACUUGAUACAUACACCUAUACAUAGUAUCAUCUCUAAUAUUAUGAUGUCUACUUCUCCUCCUCCUCUUUUAUAUCAACAACACCAGCUCAAUUA
rnacentral:lncRNA from 1 species